rnacentral:pre_miRNA from 1 species
CGUCCGAAAUUACUUGUCACAUAAAUAGAUAAAAAUGAAUGUAUCUAAAACUAAAAUACAUCUAGAUACAUUCAUUUCUAUGACAAGUAUUUUCGGACGGAGGGAGUAGUAA